rnacentral:rRNA from 1 species
GAUGAACGCUGGCGGCGUGCCUAAUACAUGCAAGUCGAGCGAACAGAUAAGGAGCUUGCUCCUUUGACGUUAGCGGCGGACGGGUGAGUAACACGUGGGUAACCUACCUAUAAGACUGGGAUAACUUCGGGAAACCGGAGCUAAUACCGGAUAACAUUUGGAACCGCAUGGUUCUAAAGUGAAAGAUGGUUUUGCUAUCACUUAUAGAUGGACCCGCGCCGUAUUAGCUAGUUGGUAAGGUAACGGCUUACCAAGGCGACGAUACGUAGCCGACCUGAGAGGGUGAUCGGCCACACUGGAACUGAGACACGGUCCAGACUCCUACGGGAGGCAGCAGUAGGGAAUCUUCCGCAAUGGGCGAAAGCCUGACGGAGCAACGCCGCGUGAGUGACGAAGGGUUUCGGCUCGUAAAACUCUGUUAUUAGGGAAGAACAAAUGUGUAAGUAACUGUGCACGUCUUGACGGUACCUAAUCAGAAAGCCACGGCUAACUACGUG